AGUGAACGCUGGCGGCAGGCCUAACACAUGCAAGUCGAGCGGCAGCGCGUCCGACCACCCUCGGGUGGUCGGAUAGCGGCGAGCGGCGGACGGGUGAGGAAUGCAUCGGAAUCUGCCUCGUUGUGGGGGAUAACGUAGGGAAACUUACGCUAAUACCGCAUACGACCUACGGGUGAAAGUGGGGGACCUUCGGGCCUCACGCGAUGAGAUGAGCCGAUGCCGGAUUAGCUAGUUGGCGGGGUAAAGGCCCACCAAGGCGACGAUCCAUAGCUGGUCUGAGAGGAUGAUCAGCCACACUGGAACUGAGACACGGUCCAGACUCCUACGGGAGGCAGCAGUGGGGAAUAUUGGACAAUGGGGGCAACCCUGAUCCAGCCAUGCCGCGUGUGUGAAGAAGGCCUCGG
rnacentral:rRNA from 1 species